GCCGUGGCUCAGUGGUAGAGCAUCUGCUUAGCAUGCAGAAGGUCACAGGUUUGAACCCAGCAGGUGCA
rnacentral:tRNA from 1 species